rnacentral:rRNA from 1 species
AUGAACGCUAGCUACAGGCUUAACACAUGCAAGUCGAGGGGCAGCAUUUUAGUUUGCUUGCAAACUGAAGAUGGCGACCGGCGCACGGGUGAGUAACACGUAUCCAACCUGCCGAUAACUCCGGGAUAGCCUUUCGAAAGAAAGAUUAAUACCGGAUAGCAUACGAAUAUCGCAUGAUAUUUUUAUUAAAGAAUUUCGGUUAUCGAUGGGGAUGCGUUCCAUUAGUUUGUUGGCGGGGUAACGGCCCACCAAGACUACGAUGGAUAGGGGUUCUGAGAGGAAGGUCCCCCACAUUGGAACUGAGACACGGUCCAAACUCCUACGGGAGGCAGCAGUGAGGAAUAUUGGUCAAUGGGCGCGAGCCUGAACCAGCCAAGUAGCGUGAAGGAUGAAGGCUCUAUGGGUCGUAAACUUCUUUUAUAUGGGAAUAAAGUUUUCCACGUGUGGAAUUUUGUAUGUACCAUAUGAAUAAGGAUCGGCUAACUCCGUGCCAGCAGCCGCGGUAAUACGGAGGAUCCGAGCGUUAUCCGGAUUUAUUGGGUUUAAAGGGAGCGUAGGUGGAUUGUUAAGUCAGUUGUGAAAGUUUGCGGCUCAACCGUAAAAUUGCAGUUGAAACUGGCAGUCUUGAGUACAGUAGAGGUGGGCGGAAUUCGUGGUGUAGCGGUGAAAUGCUUAGAUAUCACGAAGAACUCCGAUUGCGAAGGCAGCUCACUAGACUGUCACUGACACUGAUGCUCGAAAGUGUGGGUAUCAAACAGGAUUAGAUACCCUGGUAGUCCACACAGUAAACGAUGAAUACUCGCUGUUUGCGAUAUACAGUAAGCGGCCAAGCGAAAGCAUUAAGUAUUCCACCUGGGGAGUACGCCGGCAACGGUGAAACUCAAAGGAAUUGACGGGGGCCCGCACAAGCGGAGGAACAUGUGGUUUAAUUCGAUGAUACGCGAGGAACCUUACCCGGGCUUAAAUUGCAACAGAAUAUAUUGGAAACAGUAUAGCCGUAAGGCUGUUGUGAAGGUGCUGCAUGGUUGUCGUCAGCUCGUGCCGUGAGGUGUCGGCUUAAGUGCCAUAACGAGCGCAACCCUUAUCUUUAGUUACUAACAGGUCAUGCUGAGGACUCUAGAGAGACUGCCGUCGUAAGAUGUGAGGAAGGUGGGGAUGACGUCAAAUCAGCACGGCCCUUACGUCCGGGGCUACACACGUGUUACAAUGGGGGGUACAGAAGGCGGCUACCUGGUGACAGGAUGCUAAUCCCAAAAACCUCUCUCAGUUCGGAUCGAAGUCUGCAACCCGACUUCGUGAAGCUGGAUUCGCUAGUAAUCGCGCAUCAGCCACGGCGCGGUGAAUACGUUCCCGGGCCUUGUACACACCGCCCGUCAAGCCAUGGGAGCCGGGGGUACCUGAAGUACGUAACCGCAAGGAGCGUCCUAGGGUAAAACUGGUAAUUGGGGCU